AGCCUGCCCAUUUAACGGCCGCGGUAACCUAACCGUGCGAAGGUAGCAUAAUCACUUGUCCUUUAAAUAGGGGCUCGUAUCAACGGCACCACGAGGGUUAUACUGUCUCCUUUCUCUAAUCAGUGAAACUGAUCCCCCCGUGAAGAAGCGGGGAUAAAACUAUAAGACGAGAAGACCCCAUGGAGCUUUAAAUUAGCAGCAACUCUACCACCCACNNNNNNNCAUAAAAUAGAGGUAUGCAUGCGACUUUUAGGUUGGGGCGACCGCGGAGUAUAAAAUAACCCCCACGACGAAAAGAGCUAAAUCUUUAUCCUAGAGUUCCCCCUCAAAGAAUUAGUACACUAACGAACAAUGACCCGAUCAUCGAUCAACGAACCAAGUUACCCUGGGGAUAACAGCGCAAUCUACUUCGAGAGCCCCUAUCGACGAGUAGGCUUACGACCUCGAUGUUGGAUCAGGGUAACCUAAUGGUGCAGCCGCUAUUAACGGUUCGUU
rnacentral:rRNA from 1 species